CGGUGAGGCUGGGGGUCUGGUCAGGAAACCACUGCAGAACUGAAGAGAAGAUGAUACAGCUGGAAUCGGGGCAGUGACGGGGCAAGGAGGACAGGAGGGCGGCUGUGAGAGCUGUUUAGGAGGUGUCUACUUCCUGCCUGCCAGACAGGAAACUGUUGAGGUGAGGAGUCUGGGGGCACCCCAUCCCUACCCUGGAGGACUUCCGUCAGGUGGAAAAGAUCAUCAAAGACCAGAGGGCGGAGAGCCUGCCACAUGUUGGGAGACGCAUCUGCCAGGUGUUGGGGGGGGCACCCCAAUGCCACGCCCAGCUAUGGUAGAUGGAGAAGAAGGACUCCAGGCUCUGCCCUUCCCCAGGACAUGCCACACAGGAGACACGACCCUGCCUCUGGGUAGCCCCUAGGCUGUGAACCCCCAGACUCACCCGGGGUGCAGGCCUGCUGCCAAGGUGCCUGCUCCAGGAAGUCUCCUCACCUCCGUUCAGCUGGGCGCCCCCUGCAUCUCCCGACUCCUGCAGUGCCGAUGUGUCCUCCCCUGCCCCCCCGCCCCUCCCCAGCUUCCUCCCUCUGGCAGUGUCCUGAUCUCCUCAGACCAGGCCCUCCCUCUCCGGGAGGAGCUCAGACUCCACACACAAGGAGCCGCGCCACGGUGUUAGUUUUUCUGGCUGAUACUCAUCAAGAACGUGCGGAUGCAACAGGGUCACCAACAUGUGCUCCAUGUUCUCGGGUCCCAAGAGGCAGUGUUUUGAGUGUAGGUGCUGCUGGGGAGAGAAUGGAGGAGGGAGAGAAAACAGAGGGACAGGGGCACAGUGAGAACACAGAGAGAGACAGAUGGGCAGAGAGAGAGACAAAAGCACAGACAGACAGAGGGUCAAGAAUGCUUCCUUCUUUGGGUUUGGUGGGAAAAUGAGAACCAGAGUGGAGAGGCCCCUGAGGCUGAGGAAACAGGAUCCCCGAGAUCCCUAGAUGGCCAAGGUUCCCUGAGGAGGUCAGUGAGCUUGCUCUUGAAAACAGUUUGUCCUGAACUUAAUUAAAUAUCGCCUUGUUUUCAGUCCUAUUUAUGCUCUCCAUUUGCUUAAUCCAUCCUUUCUUUUUGCGUAGGGCAGAAGUAAACUUAGUCAGGGCCCCUGAGAAUCCGGGAUGCCUGUGUUUGGACAAACGAUUUACAUCAUUGUCAUCGUUAUCUACAUGCUGUAGAUAAACAGAAUAUGUAAUAAAAUUGCACACAACUUACAUGCACGCCCAUGCACGCACACACAAGUACAGUGAUGCUGGGAAAGCUGAAUUAGAGCAGCGGAUUGGGUCAAUGUCAGCAUCCUGGUUGUGAUAUUUGCUUUUGCUUUGAAAGAUGUUAUCGUGGGGGAAACUAGGUAAAGGGGACGUGGAUCUCUCUGUAUUAUUUCCUACAACAGCAUGUGAAUCUACAAUGAUCUCGAAAUAAAAAGUUUUAUAUUCAAAAAA